GACGAACGCUGGCGGCGUGCCUAACACAUGCAAGUCGAGCGAGGGGAGUUUCUUCGGAAACAAACCUAGCGGCGGACGGGUGAGUAACACGUGGGCAACCUGCCUUGUAGAGGGGAAUAGCCUCCCGAAAGGAAGAUUAAUACCGCAUAACAUUGCACUUUCGCAUGAAAGAGUAAUUAAAGGAGUAAUCCGCUACAAGAUGGGCCCGCGGCGCAUUAGCUAGUUGGUGAGGUAACGGCUCACCAAGGCGACGAUGCGUAGCCGACCGGAGAGGGUGAUCGGCCACAUUGGGACUGAGACACGGCCCAGACUCCUACGGGAGGCAGCAGUGGGGAAUAUUGCACAAUGGGGGAAACCCUGAUGCAGCAACGCCGCGUGAGUGAUGAAGGUCUUCGGAUCGUAAAGUUCUGUCUUCAGGGACGAUAAUGACGGUACCUGAGGAGGAAGCCACGGCUAACUACGUGCCAGCAGCCGCAGUAAAAC
rnacentral:rRNA from 1 species